GAGAACAUACUCCACAAGAAGAAACCAAAAAUCUCUUUAGGAAAUCCUAGCCAUUCAUGACUCCUGUUGAUAGAGGAGAAGAUGUCUCGUCUUUCGAUGAGAAGUUAACUACCCUUUUUAAUGGAGUAGACUUUGAUUAUCCGACUACAAACAUGCAAAGAUGUCGCAACUUAGCAAUCGCUCAACCAACUCCAAGAGUUUAUUAACCACACCAGAGCAUGAUCGACCUAACCACGAGGUACUAUCUACACUAAACCUACUAGAGGAUCAUGCAUGCAAACAAAGGACAAGAAUGAACUAAUAUUGCAAUAUCGAUACUGCAAAUUAAGAUUAAAGCUUUAUUAAUGGAACUGGUGUUCUCAGAUGUAUUGGUCUCACCAUAGGACACAAACGAAGUAUGCGGGUUGCAACUAUGACAAACUUUCAUCUAAAUAAAACCCAAGUCUAAGCAAUGACCUAAGGGUUGUAUUUAUAGGAUGAAAGAGAGGCAAUUUCAGUCAACUUUGGCAAGGUGGGACUAAAAUCUAUUGUUGGUCGUUUCCCCUACAAUACAGACUCUAAAACGGCAUGUGGAAAGGUAUUUUCAAAACACAUCGGACUAGCCAAAAAAUAAGGUGGAGUUGCACCUAUAGAAAGCAAGGACCUAAAUUUAUGAGGGGUGCCUUGUAUAUUUAGUCCAAGACCUUAUAUGUUAUCAUGGUGGCUUCACUGGGCUUAACUCCACUCGAAACUACGCUCUUAUUUGUCGCGCGUGCCUUCAUGUCAUGGCUUGAAUGCC
rnacentral:lncRNA from 1 species